rnacentral:rRNA from 1 species
UACGUAGGGUGCAAGCGUUGUCCGGAAUUAUUGGGCGUAAAGGGCUCGUAGGCGGUCCAUCGCGUCGGGAGUGAAAAGCUGGGGCUUAACCCCAGUCCUGCUUCCGAUACGGGUGGACUAGAGGUAGGUAGGGGAGAACGGAAUUCCUGGUGUAGCGGUGAAAUGACGCAGAUAUCAGGAGGAACACCGGUGGCGAAGGCGGUCUCUGGGCCUUACCUGACGCUGAGGAGCGAAAGCAUGGGGAGCAAACAGG